rnacentral:piRNA from 1 species
CAUCGUCAUCUUCAUUGGCAGCCUGU